GACGAACGCUGGCGGCGUGCUUAACACAUGCAAGUCGAACGAAAAGAGGGAAAGAGCUUGCUCUUUCCGGAAUUGAGUGGCAAACGGGUGAGUAACACGUAAACAACCUGCCUUCAGGAUGGGGACAACAGACGGAAACGACUGCUAAUACCGAAUAAGUUCCAAGAGCCGCAUGGCCCAUGGAAGAAAAGGUGGCCUCUACCUGUAAGCUAUCGCCUGAAGAGGGGUUUGCGUCUGAUUAGCUGGUUGGAGGGGUAACGGCCCACCAAGGCGACGAUCAGUAGCCGGUCUGAGAGGCUGCACGGCCACACUGGAACUGAGACACGGUCCAGACUCCUACGGGAGGCAGCAGUGGGGAAUCUUCCGCAAUGGGCGAAAGCCUGACGGAGCAACGCCGCGUGAGUGAUGACGGCCUUCGGGUUGUAAAACUCUGUGAUCCGGGACGAAAAGGCAGAGUGCGAAGAACAAACUGCAUUGACGGUACCGGAAAAGCAAGCCACGGCUAACUACGUG
rnacentral:rRNA from 1 species